AACGUCGUGAGACAGUUCGGUCCCUAUCUGUGGUGGGCGUUGGAUAUUUGACAGGACCUGUCCUUAGUACGAGAGGACCGGGAUGGACCAGCCGCUGGUGCGCCGGUUGUACCGCCAGGUGCAGCGCCGGGUAGCUACGCUGGGAGGAGAUAAGCGCUGAAAGCAUCUAAGUGCGAAACUCACCUGGAGAUGAGAUAUCCCAAUUGGAAGGGCCGUGGGAGACGACCACGUGGAUAGGCGGCAGGUGAAAAACCAGAAAUGGAAUAGCCGAGCCGUACUAAUGGCCCGAGGGCUUCGCA
rnacentral:rRNA from 1 species